GAUGAACGCUAGCGAUAGGCUUAACACAUGCAAGUCGAGGGGCAGCAUGGUCUUAGCUUGCUAAGGCUGAUGGCGACCGGCGCACGGGUGCGUAACGCGUAUGCAACUUGCCUCACAGAGGGGGAUAACCCGUCGAAAGACGGACUAAUACCGCGUACACUCUAUGUUGGGCAUCCAAUGUAGAGGAAAUGAAAUUCGCUGUGAGAUAGGCAUGCGUCCCAUUAGCUAGUUGGUGAGGUAACGGCUCACCAAGGCGACGAUGGGUAGGGGAACUGAGAGGUUGAACCCCCACACUGGUACUGAGACACGGACCAGACUCCUACGGGAGGCAGCAGUGAGGAAUAUUGGUAAAUGGGCGAGAGCCUGAACCAGCCAAGUCGCGUGAAGGAUGACUGUCUUAUGGAUUGUAAACUUCUUUUAUACGGGAAUAACAAGAGUCACGUGUGGCUCCCUGCAUGUACCGUAUGAAUAAGCAUCGGCUAACUCCGUG
rnacentral:rRNA from 1 species